CUGACUGUACUUGCAGGGAUCAUUUCUAUAGUUGGUGACAGAAUAAUUUCAAGAGUCAUCUUGAAAAUAGAAAAACUUAGU
ensembl:snoRNA U3 Small nucleolar RNA U3